UGGCGGCGUGGAUAAGACAUGCAAGUCGAACGGGAGAAUUGCUAGCUUGCUAAUAAUUCUCUAGUGGCGCACGGGUGAGUAACACGUGAGUAACCUGCCUCUUAGUGGGGGAUAGCCCUGGGAAACCGGGAUUAAUACCGCAUACGAUUGAAAGAUCAAAGCAGCAAUGCGCUAGGAGAUGGGCUCGCGGCCUAUUAGUUAGUUGGUGAGGUAACGGCUCACCAAGGCGAUGACGGGUAGCCGGUCUGAGAGGAUGUCCGGCCACACUGGAACUGAGACACGGUCCAGACACCUACGGGUGGCAGCAGUCGAGAAUCAUUCACAAUGGGGGCAACCCUGAUGGUGCGACGCCGCGUGGGGGAAUGAAGGUCUUCGGAUUGUAAACCCCUGUCAUGUGGGAGCAAAUUAAAAAGAUAGUACCACAAGAGGAAGAGACGGCUAACUCUGUGCCAGCAGCCGCGGUAAUACAGAGGUCUCAAGCGUUGUUUGGAAUCACUGGGCGUAAAGCGUGCGUAGGCUGUUUCGUAAGUCGUGUGUGAAAGGCAGGGGCUCAACCCCUGGAUUGCACAUGAUACUGCGAGACUAGAGUAAUGGAGGGGGAACCGGAAUUCUCGGUGUAGCA
rnacentral:rRNA from 1 species